CCUUCGAUAGUUCAGUUGGUAGAGCGGUGGACUGUAUCAUUGUACAAAGAUAUCCAUAGGUCACUGGUUCAACUCCGGUUCGAAGGA
rfam:Daphnia magna strain Xinb3 contig34599, whole genome shotgun sequence.